GGGGCGGUUCGGAAACACCUCCCCUCUGCUGCCAGCACCGUGGCACAGAGCAGUCACGGCAGGUCAGAUCCCAUCUGAUGCUUCUUACCAGAUCUCCUAGGACAAGAACAUUUGAUUAAUAACUUGCUCUGAAGUUCAGGCAGCACAAAGUGGCUGAAAUAGUUUCUGCAAAGGCAGAAAAUAAAAAUACCUCAUCCAACUGAAAGGUCUGUUUGAUCUCAUCAUAAGAAGUCCUGAUCACAAACAACAUUUUGUCCAAGUAAAAAUCUGGUAAUAUGAUGCUCCUGCUGUGCUACAGGAUUAACUUGCACACUGAUUUAAUGCAAAUAAUAUGAGGUCUGAAAACUAUGGAGCUUUUUUCAACUUUCAUUAUCAUCAGCUGGUAUGUUAUGUGACCAAGAGAAACAAACGAACAAAACAAAACAAAUUACAUUUUAUAGUUUUAGAACUCAUAACAUUACAAUAGUUUUGAUUAAAAAAAAAAAAAAAACACAAGACAGCCCUCAUUUUGAGAAAUAUAUCUGGUUUUACUUGUUAAUCCUUAAAAGAAUCCAGAGCCUCCAUUUCCAAAGCUAUAACUUCAAAGCUGCUAAAGCUAUUGUAGGUCAAAAGAACUGAUAAUCUCAGCAGCCCAGUGCAUGCAUCAAUGGCUAAUAUAAUCCCCCAAUAAACAAGCAGUGUAAUAAAUACCCUACAGUGCCAAGGAGAACUCUAGCGAACAUAUCAUUAACCCUUCGGACUUGCUUAGGAUAUAGCAUUGCACAUCUGUUGGUCAUUUAACAUCUGCUAAUUUUAACUUUGAUAAUUCAAGAUUUUGUUAUGUUCCACCACUGUACAUAUUUUGUAUUUGAAUCAUAUUCACAUGAUUUUAAUAGGUAAGCAGAAAACCCUUACUUACUCUUUAUGGAACACAAACUGUUCUCUGCAGAUGCUUAAGAAAAAAAUUUGGUUUAUUAGAUGUGGUGUUAAAUGUAGGAACGAGCUGGACUUGAAUAGAGAGGCCAAAAUCAGCCUUUUGAGGAAAAGGCUUGCUAGUUUAUCAUAAAAAGCCAAACAAGAAAUAAAAGGUAGGUGCAUUCAAAUUAGAAAUGAUAUGUACUUUUUUCCCCAUAUUGAGUGUAAUCACCCACUGGAAAAAAAAAAUUUUGAGAAAAAACAGUGACCACUUUCUGCACAGAUUUCUACAAAUUAAGACAGAGUGAAUAUCAGCUGCCUGGGAAUAUACUCAUUUUGGAACCAGGAGAAAAGUACCUUAUAAUAGCACGAUUCUGAAAGACUAUCUGAAAAGGAGGAUUUGGACAAACAGAAAUCCCUAACAAAAUAUAAGAUGGUAUUCUGUCAGUUUAAGAAAAGAUUUUACAAUACCCCUGGCUGUAGCAAGAAGGAGCAAUAAGAGGUUUGAAGGAAGAAGAGGUUUCUCCAGAUUUGCUCUGGCAGAGGAGGAAGGAAGGAAAAAGCAGCUUGACCGUCCUCUGCACCGUGGAAGAGCUCAGCAGCGCUGCUGUGCUGGAGAGAAACAAGCACCCAAAGACGAGGUGC